UUACACAUGCAGGCCAAGUCAUAAAUUAAACCUCAUUUCUGUUUGUGUAUUACAUCUUUGCCUAUAUUUAUUUUUUCCAUAACAUAUGGUUGGGUGUACAUGCGCAGAAAGAAAAAUCUCGCAACAUACUAAGAGCACCAACAAAUAUAGGAGGAGAAGAGGUAUAGUGACUUAACAACCUCAUUCUAUUAAAAAUCAAGCAAAUUAGGUUCCUCGGUUGAAGAUUAAGAAGCUGCAGAGAUAAUCAAAAUUUGUAUAAAGGAAAAUGUUGAAAUAAAAUACAACCCUCACAAACAACCACUAAAGAAACAAGGUUAGUGCCCAUGCAAUCACACUCAGGGUUGAAGAUCACAUGCAUAAGUGGAUGGCGCCCUGUAAGCACAAAAAUUAUGGGGGCUGACCCUGUUUCUUCAGGGUUGUUUCUGAAAAUUAUAUGUUUUUUUUAGCAUUAGUAUUCUACAAAUUAUUCGCUCAGGCUAUUUAUGGGGGUUAGUCUUGUUUCUUCAGGUUGUUUCAGAAAUUGAAUGUUAGUUUAGCAUUGGUAAUCUAUAAAAUAUUGGCUCGACCUACACUGAUUUCCUUCUUAAUGUAUAUCAAAACAUGCUAUUUUAGCAUUGAUCUUCUUUAAACUAUUCACUUGCCUCUACCAACUUGCUUCUUGAUGUAUGCAUGCAUGCAAACAUAUAUAAGCAAUUGCAGUAUGUAAAAGAAAUUGGUACAAGCCACCAUCAUGACUAUCAGCAAGUCUAAAAGACUUGAAUAAGGACUAAGUCAAGCAGCAUUAAACACAUAACUUUCAUUGACCUCGGUUAGGCUCUCAAUUUCUUUAUUGCAAAGGGUGGCUCAACAUAAUAUGAUACUAAGAAAGGAUCAUGAGGUCAUUGAAGUUGAUCUUCAUAAUUCAGAGCUACUCAUUUUUAAUAUUUG
rnacentral:lncRNA from 1 species